CAAAGCCUCUGUGGUGGUGCAGGAGGAAGCCUGAGUUCUCACCGGUAAGGUCUAUCCCCAGGCUCAGGCCGCAGGGUCCUCUUGGCUGCUGUGUUUAAGGCAGCUUGGGUUAACUGUGGUCCAGACACAGGGAGGGUUCCGCCUGGUGUUCCCUGGCCAAGUGUCAGUACGGGGGUCCUGGAAGAUUGUGGGGGUGGUGGGGCAUCUCAGGUUCUCUCUACAGUCUUGCAUGUGGACGGUCCUUAUGCAAGGACUCCAGGGCCACUGCCAUCCUCAGCUCCCGGACACAGCUUGGUUCUGGGACCAGAAGGACAGGCCUGGAGUCUGAGGCAGGCAAAAUGCCAAGCUGGGCAUUCAGACCACGGGCACUGAGGGUGAAUUAUGGCACGAGGGCCCACGGAGCAGCCACAAAUCAUGGGGCUGUCAAGGACAGGGGAAAGGCAACACCCACCGCCUCCCCGGGCAGGAUUGAUGGACUGGGGUCCUGGGUCUGGGUUCAGGAUGAUUGGACUUUAUGCUGUUUUAUUUCCCCAGAGCGCUGCUGGUGCAAAGCGUGGCACCCAGGACCGCGUGUGUGAGUGUGCUCGUGUAUCUAUCUUCCCGCACGACUCCACGGGAGGGUGGGCUCCGGCUUGCCUCUCCAUGUGGCUCUGAUUUCAUUUCUAUGUGACCAGCCAGGCCUCUGAAUUGAUCAUGGGCUGCGAGUUGUGUGUUUUGUGGCUGGUGUGGCUGUACAUGGGUGACGAUCUGUGGAGCUGUGGAGUCUAUGGGUUUUGUGUGUGGCUGGACAGCAGUUUGCAUGUGUCUGUUGGGGACAAUUUGGGGGCCUUGAGGCCAUAUGUCUGGGUGGCUGAUGUGGUUAUAAUCCAGAAUGGGGACUGAGGAGGAAGAGAAGGUUGGAAUGAAGGUUUGGGGCAUGAUGAAUCUGAGGUCUGGGAAGAACAUCAAGGGGACAUAUCUAGAAAAGAGGGACAGGGACUCAGCAGGGAGCCUGGGGCAGGAGGGCCUGGACUCAGCUGCCUUCUACGUUUGUCCAGAUGACAAUGCACUGGGGAAAGUGGUGUUUGGCAGGAAUGAGGCAAACACACACACACACACACACACACACACCCCUCUGAAGCCGGAAAGGACACAUGCUGUGCUAAUCCUAGCUGGACAGAAUUCAGUAGGAAAUUUCCAAGGGUUGCUGAAAUGGCAUAAAGUGCACCAAUUGGUGAAAGGCAGCAAAAAUUCCCUGGCAGAGGUAAAGAUUCAGGGAAAUCACAAGAAAGGAGACUGUCGAAGGGAGAGAAGAAUGCUCUGGUUGUAGCAGUGAGGAAUGGGGAUAGGGACAGAGUCGGAAGGACUCAGGGCAGGGACAGCAAGCUAUUUUUGAUGGCAUAAUCUUAGAAGCCAAGGCCAGGCAAUUCUUCAAGGCAUUUCUAGUACCUUGCCCAGGAGUAGGUGUUGAAUUGAGCUGAUUUGGAGUCAAAAUCUAAAGCACUAUAACAGGGAAAGUCCAAGGACUUUACUGAAAGAACUUUGAAAACUACAGGAGACCUUGGGCGGGGCUGAUGGGAGGGGAAGCGGAGUUGGUGUCCCCAGCAUGUCCCCUCUGCACUGCUCCUCUUCUGCACGCUGGCUUCCUCCCUGGUCGGCCUCCAGGUCUGGGCUCUCAACCAGUCUCUGCUUUCCCUUCUUCAUUGCUCUUGAUCCCCCCCAGCGCUGACCUGGACUCUGUUUUCUGGUCACAGCCCUCCCCCGCCCCCACUAGUCUCAACAGGGGGGACAGCAUCUGUCUGAUCUUUUGCUGAAUAAGCCAGGUGGUCAGAAAAAGGGUGGUCCAGCUGGAGAGCACCCAGGACUUGGGCAGAGCCUGUUUAUCCCCAGUUCCAAGGACCUGAAUGCAAUGCAAGUCACAUUGAGGGAUCUGAGGUCCCAGAUGUGGUAGAAGACCUAACACUAGAGUGCUAAGGGAUGAGGGACAGGGGACUUUGGUGCCACAGCAGAGCACUAACAAGGUUCUGGCAGGUCAGAGGAGUGCUGUCUCAGAAAUCUCAGAUUGUGGUCUACACAGGUGUACAAGGAUGGGGACAGCCUCAGGGGCACAGGUGGUGAGCAGGGAGCACCUGAGGGACAUACGUCAUGUUUUAGAUACUAGUAGCAGAAGAGCUCCUAUUCAGUGGCCUUAGUGAUAAGAAAAGGCAUUAUCUCACAUGACAGGAACUCCCUCAAGAGGAAGGAAGAGCCUCUAUACAGUGGCUCAAUGCUGUCAUCAAAGAGCAAUGUUCUUGCUGUCUUUUGCUGCUAAACUGAGUGAGUUAACUUUGUCAUUAGGAUGGCUUCCUUCCUAGUCACAAAAGGGCUGCCCAGAUCCAGAUAUCCCACUCAGAUACCACAAUGUCCAGUAGAAGAAAAGAUAUUCUCCUUCUAGCUGUCUCUGAGUGAGGUGUCUUUCUCAGAAGUCCCUCUCCCAUCAGGCUCCUCCCCACAUGCCUGUACCUAAAUCAAUCACUGGCAAGGGGAAUGGGAUGACAAUACUGCUUCAUGCAUUUAGGAUCCGUCCAUGGAGCUGGGGUUUUGGGUGGGCCUGUGGCCAGCUGCCCUGAAGCACAGGUCCCGGAUAGGAGCGGAUCCUGGGUCGACAGUGAAUCAUCUCCACUCCGUCAGACCUCCCCCAGUGCCAGAGGGGAGCAGAGGUAGCGUGGAGCUGCUGUAGGACAGAAUGCUGGCAAGCAUUGUGCUCUGGGAGACCAAAUCUAGGAUCUAGUCAUCCAAGGUGAAGCCUGGUAUCCACACGGAGUCAGCAGACAGGUCAAAUUACCAAUAAAAAAGUUCUCAUUGCUGUUCCUGUCCCAACACCUCCCAUGCCCACUUCAGGACCAAAAUCCCUCAUUAGACCUGAAAAGCCCCACAUGAUCUAGUCUCUGCUUCUCAAGCUUCAUCUGGAGCUCCUCCAUCUGCUGCACGUGCAGUUGUCCUUUCUGCCUCAGGGCCCUUGCUCAUGCUGCCUUCCCCCUCCCUCAGUGUUCCCCCAUCAUUCCCUACCUCCUUUCAUUCAUUCUGCAUUAUAUUCCCAUAGCUCUCCACAAAUCUCUUUAGUCGUCUUUAGGGAACUUAUAAAUACUUGUUGUCUAUAUACCCUGCUGGACUCCAGGCUGUUAGUCAGCUUUAUAUCACUGUGGCCAAAAUACCGAACAAAAACAACUCAGGGAGGAAAAGUUUAACUGGGUUCAUGGUUCAUAGGCCUCAGUCCAUGGUCAGCUAGCUCUGUCCCUUUGGUUCUGAGGUGAGGCAGAGCAUCCCGGUGAAGGGUGUGGCAGAGAGAGCUGUACUCAUGAAAGCUGCCAGGAGCAGAGAGAACAAAAGGACCCACAGGGCCUGCAGGAGAAGGCCAUGCCUCCAGGGGUGCCCCAGUGGCCUGCUUCCUGCCGCUUCCUGCCGCUAGGCCCCACCUCCCAGCAGUCCCUCCGGCCAGAACCCUGAUCAUCCAUCCCUUCCCCAAGCCCCACCUCUGGUCAUUGCUGCACUGGGGACACGUGAGACUGGGGGACACUCCAGACCCACAGCAGGCUCCUUGAGGUCAAGAAGAAUGUCUAUCAUCUGGACACUGUGCUGACACCCGAAACAGUGCUUGGCACACAAUCGGCAUUUAAUGAAUAUCCACUGAAUGUGUGAAUGAAUGAAUCCCCACAACGAGGGUCAGCUGGGUCCUAAGCUUUGGGCAGGGACUGUGGCUGGGGGACUGAUGAAGAGUGUGGCCUGUCAGAGGCCCCUGGGGAUUUCUGAGCACAGAAACAGCAUGACUAUUACGGGCUCAAGGGCAGCAAGGGUAGCUGUGUGCCCAGGAGGGGUAAGGAGGCCAGCCAGGACCCUGUGCUCUCCUGCAGGCAUUAGGUUCCAGCCAUGGGAGCCGUGUCCAGGAGAUCAGUAAUGACACCCUGAAGACAGGUGGGCUGGUGUGGUUCAGCACUGGGGCCAGAGAUCUGGAGCAAAAUAAGGGUGCUAAGAGCAUCCGCCUUACGGGGUCACAGGAAGAGUCAAGGGGACGAGGCGUGUAAGAAGCAGUCUUUUGUCUGUAGAUCCGCAGUACAAAGCCUGGGCUUUGCCUUUGCUCCAGUCCCCAUCCCAGGCCAGGUCCGAAUCUGUCCUAUUCCUCUCUUUCCUCCCAGCCUGAGGCACACCAGGACUAUGCUCUCCACAAAACCAAACUUCCCUCAGCCUGUUUCUUUUUCCAGUUAAGUGGGUGCAGCAAUGUCCCCCUCACCUGGCUGAUACGAGGUGACAUUAGAGAACACAUUUUGGGGUGCUUUAGAAACUGUAAAGCACUGUGAACAUGAAGGAAUUACUGUUCCUAUUUUGCUAGAGUUGGGCUCAUUCCUGGGCCUGGCAUCUGCUUUGACUUUCCCAGUUCCUGUUUCUUGCCAGUCUCCGUUUUCUUGUAGCCACCCACGAUUCUGGCACUGACAGCGUAAGGAUGGGGAGUUUGAAUGUAGAAGGAAAAAAGGAGGAACGUGACAACAACCAGCAGCCCCCUGCCUCGUUUCCAGUCUCAAGGAUGAUCCUCCACCUCUCCAAGGCAGCAUCCCCCAAGCCUGGGCAUCCUCCAUGUUCCAGUGACCUAUCGCCGCAUAACAAACCCCUCCCAAACCUAGUGACUUGGAACAACACUGUAUUAUUAACUCCUAGGAGGUCAACUCCGACGGGCAGUUUCCCACCUCAUGGACUCUGGUUGGGUUGCAGUCAGAAGUGGCUGGGACCAUCUGAAGGCUGGACUGGACAGACAUUCCCCAUUCACAUGCCUGCUGCCUGGGUGGAAUGGUUGGCACAUCUGGGCCUGGAUCUCCGUGCAGCUUCUGUCCAGGGCCACCUACAGGGCUUAGUUGAACUUACACAAGACAGCUGACUUCUCCUGAGCAAGCCUGCUAAAGAACCAACAGAGAAUUUCUUUGGCUUCUUCUGACUUAGCCUCAGAAGUCAUGGGUUUCACUUCUAAUGCAUUUUCUUGGUUACAUAGGGUCAGCCCCGAUGCAGUAGGGGAGAGGAUUCCCAAGGGCCUGGAUACUGGAAGGCAUGGCUUGUCGGGGAGCCAUCUUUGGAGACUGUCCAGCCAGAUCUUGGUCUGGUGAUUGGAACACUGCCCUGUGGAGUGCUCUUGCCAUGUUUGGGUAUGUGGAAUGUGUCUCCCAAAGAUUCAUGUGUUGGAGGCUUUGUCCCCGGGAGGCAGUCCUGGGAGAUGGGGUGGAACCUUUGAGAGGUAAGGCCUAAUGAGAGCUCUUAAGGUUAAUUGGGGGCGUGUUUGCAGACAGGGGUGGUUAUCAAAAGAGGGUUGUUAUGGAGCCUGAGCCUGGCUCCACCCAGCCUCUCUUGCUUCCUGUUUUGAGUUGUGGAUUUUUCUCUUGCUCACAUUCCUGCAGUUGAGAUACAAUAUUCCAUGAAGCCCUCACCAGAGCCAAGUUGAUACUGGUGUGAUGCCUUCGAACUUCCAGGAUUGUGAGUUAAAUAGACCCCUUUUCUUUAUAAAGUUAGUCUGCCUCAGAUAUUUUGUUAUAGCAACAAAAAAAGGACUAAUAUGCCUCUCAAAGUUCAGGACUUGGGAAGGAGACAAAGGAGACAGCAUAAAGGGCACUGAGCAGCUAGGACUCCUGGGCCCCAACUUUAAACAACAUUCACUUAAUAUUUUGGAGUUUUACAAAUAACUUAAUGUGAAAUUAAAAGUUCUGAAGUUCACUUUGCUAGAGUGAUUUAGAGAGUAAAUAAACUUAAAGAAAUAUUCUUAACAUUAAUCAUUUGGGGAAUGCAAAAUAAAGUUUCAAUGAGAUAUUACUACACACAUCCUAAUAAGAAUGAUUAAAGUGAUAAUUUUUAAAACUAUCAAGCACUGGUGAGAAUGGGAACAACUAGAAUUCACACACAUUAAUGGUAGAAAUGCAAUACUGAACAGCCACCUUGGAAAACAGUUUCUUAUGAAGUUAUACAUACACUGCACAUAGGAUUCAACCAUUCCAACUCUCAGGUAUUGACUCCGGAGAAAUGCAAUGAUAUGUACACACAGAGACCUGUAAAUGUCCCUAGCAGCUUUCCUAAUAGUCCCAAACCAGAGAAACCAGUCAACCAAAGAAAGAAAUCCAAAUGCCCAUUGGAUAAAGUAAUUCUGGUGCAUCCAGACAGUGAUAGACUUCUUAGCAAUAAGAUCCGAACAGGUAGCGUUUGCAUGGAUGAAUCUCAAAAGCAUUAUUCUGAGUAAAAGAAACCAGUCAACAAAGCUCUAGGCUUUAUGACGAUCCAUUAUGAUGAUCUCUUCAAGAGGCAAAACUGGUCAUGGAAAGCAGAUCCAUGGUUGCAACUGUACCCCUGUCCUACAGCCAGCCUCGGGCCUUGGCUGGCUCUGCUCCCUCUUUGUGGACUCUUUCCUGCUCAUCAUUUGGAUAACUCUCUUUAUCCUUCAGUCUUCAGCCCUCACUUUUCCAAAGAGGCCUCUGCCCCUCCGAUCUAAAUUAGGUAGCUCUUUUCACUUGCAGGUGACACACUUGCUUUUUCUUCUCUAAUAGAGAGCAAGAUCUCCACACAUCUUUGGCACACAAUUAGCACUUAGCUUGUUUCAUGAAUUAAUAAAUGUGGGAAAGAUGUACAGUCUUCCUUUGUAUAGUUAUGUAUUGCAUGAAUUUGUUUAUUCACAAACAUGCGCUACUUUUUUUCAUUUUCAUGUAUUAUUAAACUACUUGUUGGAGAAUUGAAAUAAUUUUAAAAAUAUGUAAAGUCAAAAGUGAACAUUUUUCAUACCCACAGAUUUUUGAAAAGUAAGGUUCUACCUUUGCCUAUUAGUGUCCAGAAAUCUCACUUAUUCUUUAUAAUAGAUAUUUACAUAUCCCACAGUAUGUUUAUACCAUUUUAAACAUUAAUUAGUCACUGCUGAGAAUUUUGGGAUACCCCACCACUAAAGUUUCAAUGUUUUCUUAUUUAGAAUGCUGCAGUAUAUAUUAGCACAUAUUGUGCAAGUAUUAUAAAAGGAGAGAUUCCUAGAAAAUUGAACUGUUAGAAAAUAGGGAAUUUGUAUUUUAGAUGUAGAGUGUAUCUAUCUACACUAUUCCAAAAAUAGGUGUGCAAACACCUAUUGCCACUUCUGUUUAGGAGACAGCCCAUCUCAUAUGUCCAUACCCUAACCAACUUGGGAUAGCACCAAUCCUUGCCAAGUUUCCUCAUUCAGGUUAAAAUACAAUCUCAUCAUUUUAACUUCCAUCCCCAGCAUUUUUACUGAGGUUGUGUGUAUUAUCAUAAGAUUUUUAGUUAUUUGUAUGUCUUGAACUGUGAAUUCCUGCUUAUAUCCUUUGCCCAUUUUUAUGUUUUUUGCCUUAUUGAUUUGUAGGAACUCCUUAUGUAUGUAUGAUAUGGAAAUAGUUUGCAGGUUAUAAAUAACUUUUAGGGGGUGAUGGAUAUGUUCAUUCUUGAUUGUGGUGAUGGGUGCACAGGUGUAUACUUAUGUCAAAACUCAUCAAAUUUUACACUUUAAAUGUGUGCAGUAUAUUGUAUGUCAAUCAUACCUUAAUAAAGCUGUUUAAAAAAGAAAGU
rnacentral:lncRNA from 1 species